rnacentral:rRNA from 1 species
GCCUCACCACUCUGAACAUACACACUCCUGUCUGGUCUCAAAAGCUAGGCAGGGUUGGGCCUGGUUAGUACUUGCGUGGGAGAGAGAUCUUCAGAGAAGACUGCUCAGAGGCA